rnacentral:rRNA from 1 species
ACGGCCAUACCACAUUGAAAACACCGGUUCUCGUCCGAUCACCGAAGUUAAGCAAUGUCGGGCCCGGUCAGUACUAGGGAGGGUGACCACCUGGGAACACCGGGUGCUGUAGGCU